GGGAGAGUGCGAUGUUGGCAUGGUUCAAUCAAACCGAGCAAACUUAUGCAGUAGCUAGUGCAGGGAUGUUCAGUAUGGUUUGUUUGGUCUGAUUGAGCCGUGCCAAUAUCACAAGCUUGCCU
rfam:Oryza brachyantha chromosome 3, whole genome shotgun sequence.